rnacentral:rRNA from 1 species
AUUGAACGCUGGCGGCAGGCCUAACACAUGCAAGUCGAACGGUAACAGGAAGAAGCUUGCUUCUUUGCUGACGAGUGGCGGAUGGGUGAGUAAUGUCUGGGAAACUGCCUGAUGGAGGGGGAUAACUACUGGAAACGGUAGCUAAUACCGCAUAACGUCGCAAGACCAAAGAGGGGGACCUUCGGGCCUCUUGCCAUCGGAUGUGCCCAGAUGGGAUUAGCUAGUAGGUGGGGUAACGGCUCACCUAGGCGACGAUCCCUAGCUGGUCUGAGAGGAUGACCAGCCACACUGGAACUGAGACACGGUCCAGACUCCUACGGGAGGCAGCAGUGUGGAAUAUUGCACAAUGGGCGCAAGCCUGAUGCAGCCAUGCCGCGUGUAUGAAGAAGGCCUUCGGGUUGUAAAGUACUUUCAGCGGGGAGGAAGGGAGUAAAGUUAAUACCUUUGCUCAUUGACGUUACCCGCAGAAGAAGCACCGGCUAACUCCGUG